rnacentral:rRNA from 1 species
UAGAGUUUGAUCCUGGCUCAGGAUGAACGCUAGCGACAGGCUUAACACAUGCAAGUCGAGGGGCAGCGGGGAGGUAGCAAUACUUCCGCCGGCGACCGGCGCACGGGUGAGUAGCACGUAUGGAACCUGCCCGUAGCAGGGGGAUAAGCGGAAGAAAUUCCGUCUAAUACCGCGUAAUAACUCCGAGAGGCAUCUCAUGGGGUUUAAAGGGUGACACCGGCUACGGAUGGCCAUGCGGCGCAUUAGCUAGUUGGCGGGGUAACGGCCCACCAAGGCGACGAUGCGUAGGGGUUCUGAGAGGAAGGUCCCCCACACUGGUACUGAGACACGGACCAGACUCCUACGGGAGGCAGCAGUGAGGAAUAUUGGUCAAUGGGCGCGAGCCUGAACCAGCCAAGUCGCGUGAGGGAAGACGGUCCUAUGGAUUGUAAACCUCUUUUGUCGGGGAGCAAAAGACGCCACGUGUGGCGUUCCGAGAGUACCCGAAGAAAAAGCAUCGGCUAACUCCGUGCCAGCAGCCGCGGUAAUACGGAGGAUGCGAGCGUUAUCCGGAUUUAUUGGGUUUAAAGGGUGCGCAGGCGGAAGAUCAAGUCAGCGGUAAAAUUGAGAGGCUCAACCUCUUCGAGCCGUUGAAACUGGUUUUCUUGAGUGAGCGAGAAGUAUGCGGAAUGCGUGGUGUAGCGGUGAAAUGCAUAGAUAUCACGCAGAACUCCGAUUGCGAAGGCAGCAUACCGGCGCUCAACUGACGCUCAUGCACGAAAGUGUGGGUAUCGAACAGGAUUAGAUACCCUGGUAGUCCACACAGUAAACGAUGAAUACUAAUUGUUCGGGGAGAAUGAUCCC